UACGGAGGGAGCUAGCGUUGUUCGGAAUUACUGGGCGUAAAGCGCACGUAGGCGGCUUUGUAAGUUAGAGGUGAAAGCCCGGGGCUCAACCCCGGACGUGCACUCGAUACUACGUAGCUGGAGUACUGUAGAGGAUGGCGGAAUUCCCGGUGUAGAGGUGAAAUUCGUAGAUAUCGGGAGGAACACCAGUGGCGAAGGCGGCCAUCUGGACAGUGACUGACGCUGAGACGCGAAAGCGUGGGUAGCAAACAGG
rnacentral:rRNA from 1 species